GGCCGUUUGGUCUAGUGGUAUGAUUCGCGCUUUGGGUUCAUAGUGACUUGGUCACGUGACGUUAUUGUGCGAGGUCCCGGGUUCAAACCCCGGAACGGCCC